AUUGAACGCUGGCGGCAUGCCUUACACAUGCAAGUCGAACGGCAGCACGGGUGCUUGCACCUGGUGGCGAGUGGCGAACGGGUGAGUAAUACAUCGGAACAUGUCCUGUAGUGGGGGAUAGCCCGGCGAAAGCCGGAUUAAUACCGCAUACGAUCUACGGAUGAAAGCGGGGGACCUUCGGGCCUCGCUCUAUAGAGUUGGCCGAUGGCUGAUUAGCUAGUUGGUGGGGUAAAGGCCUACCAAGGCGACGAUCAGUAGCUGGUCUGAGAGGACGACCAGCCACACUGGGACUGAGACACGGCCCAGACUCCUACGGGAGGCAGCAGUGGGGAAUUUUGGACAAUGGGCGAAAGCCUGAUCCAGCAAUGCCGCGUGUGUGAAGAAGGCCUUCGGGUUGUAAAGCACUUUUGUCCGGAAAGAAAUCCUUGGCCCUAAUACGGUCGGGGGAUGACGGUACCGGAAGAAUAAGCACCGGCUAACUACGUG
rnacentral:rRNA from 1 species